rnacentral:lncRNA from 1 species
AGCAAGGGGGCAGAUAGAAUGUAGGAAGCCAAAGGCUGUUACUCCGAGUGGUGGAACCACCAGAGGAUUUCUAAUACAGAAUAGUUUAUAAAAUUAGGAUGCUAGAUUCUGCGCCCAGUGAUUGUGUUAACCUGUUGAUUCUAAAACAAGAUUGUGUGGUGUUUUCCUUCACACGCUGACUCAACUGGGUUCCAGAGAAGGUUUGACUUUUUUACUGGGCUUGCUGAGGACAGGCAGCUGGACCUGGCUUGAGGCACAAGUUGUGACCUCUAAGUUUGACACUAGAGUGCAGAUCAGAUUCAAGCAGGAUAUGGCUGCUAAAUCCCCGGCAUUGGAAGGACAGGGAAAGGCAUCAAGAGG